UACGUAGGGUGCAAGCGUUGUCCGGAAUUAUUGGGCGUAAAGAGCUCGUAGGCGGCCUGUUGCGUCCGCCGUGAAAUCCCGGGGCUUAACCCCGGGCGUGCAGUGGAUACGGGCUGGCUGGAGGCAGGCAGGGGAGAACGGAAUUCCCGGUGUAGCGGUGAAAUGCGCAGAUAUCGGGAGGAACACCGGUGGCGAAGGCGGUUCUCUGGGCCUGUACUGACGCUGAGGAGCGAAAGCGUGGGGAGCGAACAGG
rnacentral:rRNA from 1 species